AACGAACGCUGGCGGCAUGCCUAACACAUGCAAGUCGAACGAGACCUUCGGGUCUAGUGGCGCACGGGUGCGUAACGCGUGGGAACCUGCCCUUAGGUUCGGAAUAACUCCCCGAAAGGGGUGCUCAUACCGGAUAAUUUCUUCGGACCAAAGAUUUAUCGCCUUUGGAUGGGCCCGCGUUGGAUUAGCUAGUUGGUAGGGUAAAAGCCUACCAAGGCGACGAUCCAUAGCUGGUCUGAGAGGAUGAUCAGCCACACUGGGACUGAGACACGGCCCAGACUCCUACGGGAGGCAGCAGUGGGGAAUAUUGGACAAUGGGCGAAAGCCUGAUCCAGCAAUGCCGCGUGAGUGAUGAAGGCCUUAGGGUUGUAAAGCUCUUUUACCCGGGAUGAUAAUGACAGUACCGGGAGAAUAAGCACCGGCUAACUCCGUG
rnacentral:rRNA from 1 species